GAUGAACGCUGGCGGCGUGCCUAAUACAUGCAAGUCGAGCGAACGGACGAGAAGCUUGCUGCUCGGAUGUUAGCGGCGGACGGGUGAGUAACACGUGGAUAACCUACCUAUAAGACUGGGAUAACUUCGGGAAACCGUAGCUAAUACCGGAUAAUAUUUUGAACCGCAUGGUUCAAAAGUGAAAGACGGUCUUGCUGUCACUUAUAGAUGGAUCCGCGCUGCAUUAGCUAGUUGGUAAGGUAACGGCUUACCAAGGCAACGAUGCAUAGCCGACCUGAGAGGGUGAUCGGCCACACUGGAACUGAGACACGGUCCAGACUCCUACGGGAGGCAGCAGUAGGGAAUCUUCCGCAAUGGGCGAAAGCCUGACGGAGCAACGCCGCGUGAGUGAUGAAGGUCUUCGGAUCGUAAAACUCUGUUAUUAGGGAAGAACAUAUGUGUAAGUAACUGUGCACAUCUUGACGGUACCUAAUCAGAAAGCCACGGCUAACUACGUG
rnacentral:rRNA from 1 species